rnacentral:rRNA from 1 species
UACGAAGGGUGCUAGCGUUGUUCGGAAUUAUUGGGCGUAAAGCGUGCGUAGGCGGUCUGGUAAGUCGACUGUGAAAGCCCAGAGCUUAACUUUGGAAUUGCAGUCGAGACUACUAAACUAGAGUAUGGCGGGGGAUAGUGGAAUUCUUAGUGUAGGGGUGAAAUCCGUGGAUAUUAAGAGGAACACCAGUGGCGAAGGCGACUAUCUACACCAUUACUGACGCUGAGGCACGAAAGCGUGGGGAGCAAACAGG